UUGGCUUCCUAGUCCGAAGUCGCUACCGCCCACUUUCUAGCUGGACAAACAGCAUUCCCGGGCCGGGCACAACACUCACCCACGUCUUGCUCGAAGGGGUUGGCGGUGAACAAAGGCAUCUCGCCGGCGCCCGAGCCCUACUCGCUGCUGUCUAGGAUUUUUAACAUUCCUUGCAAGGCAAGUGUACUGGUGAAAUUCCCUCAAAUUUUGUUUGCCUGAGAAAGUCUUUCUCCCUCACUGUUGAAGGAUAAUUUCACUGGAUACAGAAUUCUAGGAAAAUGCAGCCCGUGCUGGGGAAGAUGCAGAUCAACAGAGCAUGCGCCAGGCGACGAUUGAAACUUACCCCGCCACGCCUAUGGAGAUGCCCCUAUCACGCCCUUAUCCCGCCCACUGCCCUCCCCCUUCCAGUACCAAUGCAUGAAAGUCAGCUGCCCGCAGGAGCCGGGGUGACUUCUUCGGCCCCCGCAUUCGUGGACCGGGGAACCUCACCCGAGAGCGCCAGCGCGACUUCCCUGUCCCCCCCACACCUGAGGACCAGAGAACCUCGCCUGAGAGUGUGUUCAUAUUUGCA